rnacentral:rRNA from 1 species
CUCAGGACGAACGCUGGCGGCGUGCCUAAUACAUGCAAGUCGAACGGUCUUUCUAUGGAAGCUUGCUUCCACUGAGAAGAUAGUGGCGAACGGGUGAGUAACACGGUGGGUAACCUGCCCAUAAGAGGGGGAUAACAUCCGGAAACGGGUGCUAAUACCGCAUAGUUUUCUUGAUCGCAUGAUCGGGAAAGGAAAGACGGCCUUUGUGCUGUCGCUUAUGGAUGGACCCGCGGCGUAUUAGUUAGUUGGUGAGGUAACGGCUCACCAAGACGAUGAUACGUAGCCGACCUGAGAGGGUGAUCGGCCACAUUGGGACUGAGACACGGCCCAAACUCCUACGGGAGGCAGCAGUAGGGAAUCUUCCGCAAUGGACGAAAGUCUGACGGAGCAACGCCGCGUGAGUGAAAAGGAAGGUUUUCGGAUACGUAAAACUCUGUUGUCAGAGAAGAACAAGUUGGAGAGUAACCGCUCCAGCCUUGACGGUAUCUGACCAGAAAGCCACGGCUAACUACGUGCCAGCAGCCGC